rnacentral:rRNA from 1 species
UACGUAGGGAGCAAGCGUUAUCCGGAUUUAUUGGGUGUAAAGGGUGCGUAGACGGGAAUUUAAGUUAGUUGUGAAAUCCCUCGGCUUAACUGAGGAACUGCAACUAAAACUGAAUUUCUUGAGUGCGGGAGAGGAAAGUGGAAUUCCUAGUGUAGCGGUGAAAUGCGUAGAUAUUAGGAGGAACACCAGUGGCGAAGGCGACUUUCUGGACCGUAACUGACGUUGAGGCACGAAAGUGUGGGGAGCAAACAGG